AUGUGGCAGGUGGUCUGUGGACAGUGUAUCACAGGCUGUGUGCUGGUUUCCUUAAGCUUCCUGGAUCCCAAAGGAAGCUGGAGGAACUUGUGCGCCAGUCAUCAGCAAAGCCCGGACACCCAGCUGAACGAAUCCCUCAGUGAGCUGCCCACGAGCCCUCAGGAGUCCAGCUCAUGCCUAGUGCUCUUCCCAGCAUGGACAGGUCAGUCUGGCUUCAUGCUGACCCAGAGUGAGGCGUGGAAACUCAGCCGGGACACCUGGGAGCAGACAGAACCCUGGGAUUUCAAAUGACGCUGUCCCUCCACCCCGUACCUGAAACC
rnacentral:lncRNA from 1 species